GUAAGGAAUAUUGCACAAUGGGCGGAAGCCUGAUGCAGCAACGCCGCGUGCCCGAUGAAGGCCUUCGGGUUGUAAAGGGCUUUUCUGGCAGAAGAGGAAGGACAGUAGGCCAGGAAUAAGAGUCGGCUAACUACGUGCCAGCAGCCGCGGUAAAACGUAGGACUCGAGCGUUAUCCGGAUUUACUGGGCGUAAAGAGCAGGUAGGCGGAGGAACAAGUUGGACGUGAAAUCUCCUGGCUCAACCGGGAGGGGUCGUUCGAAACUGUUCCACUGGAGGGCAGCAGAGGGGCGUGGAAUUCCGGGUGGAGUGGUGAAAUGCGUAGAGAUCCGGAGGAACACCAGAGGCGAAGGCGGCGCCCUGGGCUGCACCUGACGCUGAGCUGCGAAAGCCAGGGGAGCGAACGGGAUUAGAAACCCUUGUAGUCC
rnacentral:rRNA from 1 species